AUGAAGCUGGUCCAAUGAAGAUGC
rnacentral:siRNA from 1 species